AGAGCGAACGCUGGCGGCAUGCUUAACACAUGCAAGUCGCACGGUUCGGGGGAGACUCCGGGCAGUGGCGGACGGGUGAGGAACGCGUAGGAAUCUGUCCUGUGGGGGGGAGUAACUGUGGGAAACUAGCAGCUAAUACCGCAUGAAGCCUGAGGGCUAAAGGCGCUGACGAGAGUUGGUGCUGCCGUGGGGGAGCCUGCGUCCGAUUAGCUUGUUGGUGGGGUAAAGGCUUACCAAGGCGUCGAUCGGUAGCUGGCCUGAGAGGACGAUCAGCCACACUGGGAUUGAGAACGGCCCAGACUCCUACGGGGGGCAGCAGUGAGGAAUUUUCCGCAAUGGAGGCAACUCUGACGGAGCAACGCCGCGUGCAGGAGGAAGGUUUUCGGAUCGUAAACUGCUUUUCUCGGGGACGAGCAAGGGACGGUACCCGAGGAAGAAGCCCCGGCUAACGUACGUGCCAGCAGCCGC
rnacentral:rRNA from 1 species